AGUGGAGCUGCUAUAAACACUGACGUGGCUGCGUCAUUAUAAUCUGCUGAUACUAAGUCCUUCGGAUAUAAACCUAGGAGUGGAAGUUACUCAGCCAUAAGGAAGAAUGAAAUUAUGGCAUUUCCCAGUAAAUGGAUAGAACUGGAGAAUAUUGUGCUAAGUGAAAUAAGCCAAUCUCAAAAAGCCAAAGGCCUAAAGUCUCUUUGAUAUAAAAAAUGGGACCCUAAUUGUUAUAUUCCAUGUAAUGUAUAAUGUCAAAAUACUCUUACUGUCAUGUAGCUCUAAAAAGAACAAAUAAAAAAGGGGGAAAAACAUAACUCUCAUGCAAAUGUAUACUGAGCACCUGACACAGACUUGCUUUGCUGACUGACGAGGGGCCAACUGGAAAGCCCAGCUCAGAGAGGAUUGUGGAACAGGCGCUUGUAUGUUUCCUUGGGAAAGGAAUGUGGAAGUAAGUUUGCUAAGCUAGAUAGACAAAAAGAUUUACUGUCCUACAGGGCUGUAAAACUAUCCUUUUAAGCUCUUUUUCUAUUGGGCAGAAAUGUUUGCAUCUCUAAUGGACAAAAAAUAAUUUGCAACUUAACAAUCUUUUACAAGUUAAUGUCU
rnacentral:lncRNA from 1 species